CCUGUACCCAGAGUUUACAAGAGUACAGGAGAAAAUGCAGGGAGGGUAAACUGUACCUGCACAGCAAGGAGUUCAGAUCUUCCACCAUAGCAAACCCAGUCAAAGGUUUUUGAACAGGGAGUAAUGUGAACCGAGUUAUAAUUUUUAAAUGUCUUUUGGAGAGCUGUGGGUAAGGAUGUACUAGAAGAAGAAAGCUGGCUGUAGAGACCAGGACGGAGGCUUUCACAGCAGCUCAAGUGUUGGGAAGAAUGAGCGGGAGGAAAUGUGCAGGAGGGCUUAGAUGGUCAUUCAUUCCAUGUUGGAGAACAGAGGGCAGGGAGUGGGCGCUGAAGACGCAACAUUUGGGGACUGCAUGACGAGGAGGUUGGUGGUAUCCCUCUAAAGGACAGGGAAGGCAGAGGGAAGUAGGGGGAAGUGUGCAUGCUGAUCUGCGAGUGAAGUCCAGGACGCAGUUAGACUAGAUACUUGGGAGUCACUGUGUGUAGGGCAGAGCUAAAGCCACGAGAUAAGGCAAGAUGGACAAAGACCACCGCAUGGAGGAAGAAGAGAGGAAGGCCGGGAGAAGACUGUUCGUGGCCCCCAGGACCCAUUCUCCCACCUUCAUGUUAGUGAUAAGUCUCCCUAGUUUGAAAUAGGCACAUGGACACCCGACUUGAGCUUCCCUUGCACCUUUGUGUGGUCAUGUGACCAAGUUCUGGCCAAUGGGAUGUGAGUGGAAGUGAUGACAUGCAACUUCUAGGUCAUGUCCUUUGAAAAGGAGGCUGCCUUCUUUCUCCCCAUUCUUUUUCCCCCUGCGACAGUUUAUAACAUUGACACGGUGCUGGUACGGCAGUCCUCAGCAUGAAAAUGAGGAUACCACCUAGGAAUGGUGGUAGAGCAGGACAGGACGAACCGGGGCACCGCCCUGGACUGCCUGCGUAGCUCCAGACUAGCAAGUGGAGGAAAAAUAAACUUCUUUCUCGUUGGAGCACUGUUGUUGAUUAAUUUGGGGAGGGGUUGUCUUUUUGUCACAGCAGCUAAGCCUGUAUCCUACGUACUACUUAUACUAAUACUGAAAAUUUCUAUUGGGAAUAAAAUCCUGGGGGAUGCCAGCACUCGGGAGACACAAGUGGGAAAAAUGGAAACACAAAAGGAAAAGAGAAAAACCAAAGAAGUGAACUAUCAGAGAAUCCGAAGCAAGACAGCAAGGAAACCAGAAGGCAAACAGUGCUGAAUGCAGCAUAAGCAUCCACAUAAACGAAGAUUAUCAAGAGACUCUGAUUUGGCCAGUAUUUCAGCAGAUCAAGGGGGACUUAAAUCAGGCAAAGGAGUUUACACCAGAAUGGAGAUGAAGAAAUGGGCACUCAGGGAGGAGAAACAUCUCGGCCAAAGCCACACAACUAUUCCCGGGUGAAGUCUGGAUUGCGUUGCUCUUCCCUCUGGUGAACUCCUGAGGGCAGGAAGGUGUUGGGUAAGUCUCUAAAACCCCACAGCACCUGGCUGGCACAUCAAAGCCCUCAGAACCUGCAGAGUCUGAAAGAAGAGGGUGUGACCAUAUGGAAACAGGGAGAAAGAUCUAGAAAUCACCAGAGCCCUGUGAGUGCACUGCGGGCUGGUGGAUAGAAUUCAUGGUCUAUGGGAUCAUUACUGCCCUUUUGACUGCUGAUUUUGUAACUGCAGGACCAGCCCAAAUUGGGCCUACUCUGUUGAUAACAGAAUGUCAAGUUACCUUGUAGGCAUAACAGAGCCAAGACUGCAAGUCAUGCAGCCCAGGCAUGCACAAAAGAAAAAGCUUUGACCUCUAAUGACACCUGGAACACAUGACUCCUGCCUGUGGAACCAAGAAGACUGGGACAUGAGUGGAACUUGACCACAGGAACUCUUUCAGAAGCAAGGGGUCCGUUGGAAGGAAGAUCCAGGACUAUAAUCCACCCCAACAUACCUUACCAUAAAUGGGCCAAUCUGAAGCCCUCCAAUCAGACCCUGCCAAUCCAUCAUUCCCGAAUCUUUUCCUUUGCCCUCUGACCCCUUAAAACUUGCCCCAGACCCCAAAUCAAGGAGACAGACUUGAGCCUAUCUCUUUGCUGCCUGGCUACACGAUAAAGCCUUUCUUUUCUUAAAAGCUGUGGCCACAGUACUGGCUACCAUGAGCAUCGGGCAGCAAGCCCAUUGGCUCAAUAACAUUUUUACUUUGCAAUUCUUAGCUCAGGCCCAGUCCCAGAGAUUGAAGCCUACAAGGAGCUGAGACACGGUGGGAGCAGGGAGGGAGGAGAAGGUGAUCCAGGGACUUACCAGGAUAUGAUAUAUCAUCGUAGGUAUGACUGAGUACAUGCCUACUUUUGUCUGUGGAGGUUGACAGAAUUAUUUUAUUUCAUGCUCUCAAAACACAGCAAGACCACAUCCUUUGCUAUAGUUAAGAAAAGGAAGCCUCAGAGAUGUUUGUUAUUCAUCCAAGGAGCAAGAAAAUCUUUUUUUAGCCCCCUUUAUAAACAUAUUUCCCAAUUUUAAAUAUAUAUGUAUUUUUAAGUGAAUGAGAAGCAAAGAACUGGAGCAUGUGGGGACUUCCUGUGGAGUUUUACUGAGAACUGUGGCUGAAUGCAGCAAGGGGUUGAGGAAGGAUUUGUCUUGUUUUGGUUUUGCUUGGUAAAGGAAGGAAGCAUCAGGUUUUCAUGCUGCUGGGAAUGAUCUAACAGAGAGAGAGAGCGAAAAUGAUGAGACAGGAGAGGGAGGGCAGUCUUAGGGCCUGUAGCUCUGGGAGAAGCAGAGGAGACAGAACAGAGGCCUUGGCAAGGCUGAGGGCAUCAGGGGCCCCUUCAUGUGAAGCCAGUGGAAUGCAGGGGCUUGCAGGAAGCCAGCUUUUUCUUCCUCCCCACUGCCUUUUCACCCAUGGUGUGGGCUGCUUCCUCUCUGGCUGAGUGAGGUCUUUUUUUUUUUUUUUUGAGACAGAGUCUUGCCGUGUCACCCAGGCUGGAGUGCAGUGGUGCAAUCUCAGCUUACUGCAAGCUCCGCCUCCCGGGUUCACGCCAUUCUCCUGCCUCAGCCUCCCGAGUAGCUGGGACUACAGGCGCCCACCACCAUGCCCGGCUAAUUUUUUGUAUUUUUAGUAGAGACGGGGUUUCACCGUGUUAGCCACGUUGGUCUUGAUCUCCUGACUUCGUGAUCUGCCCGCCUUGGCCUCCCAAAGUGCUGGGAUUACAGGCGUGAGCCACUGUGCCUGGCCCUGCCUCCCAGGUUCUAAGUGACAGCACCAUGCCCGGCUAAUUUUGUAUUUUUAGUAGAGACAGGGUUUUACCAUGUUGGCCAGACUGGUCUCGAACUCCUGACCUCAGGUGAUCCACUCACCUCGGCCUCCCAAAGUGCUGGGAUUACAGGCGUGAGCCACCGCACCGAGCCUUGUCCGUAUGAGGUCUAGGGCAGAUUCUACAGCUUUUCAGCUUAUUUUGGGUAAAAACAAACAAACAAACAAACAAACAAAAAAGUCCAGUCCAGACUGACAAGGAAAUCCCGAAUCCUGGUUCAAUUUGAAAGCUCUUCCCUCCUCAGCUUGGAACGGCCUUGUACACAGUGAAAGAGGAAAUGUGGCUACCUCUCUCUCUCCCUUCGCUCCCCUCUCCCAUCCACUAGCUGCUGGCUUGGGGUUGUGCGGGUGGAAGGGAGGUGGCUGACGGGCAGGAAAGGCGUUUCUUGAAUCCCUACAGUCCUUACUUGGCAUGGGGCAGAUGCACCAUCCCUGAUUCUUCAAGAACCAUUUGGGUGAGUGCUUCAGAGCCUCCCAUCGCUGGGCAUUGGCCCCCAGUUUCUUGCUCACAAUCAUACAAGUCAAGUGUGAGCCAUGGGCCAGCAGCAUUGCAUCACUUGUUGGAAUAGAGAUGCCAGGUGCGGCGACAUGUACCUGUAGUCCCAGCUACUGGGGAGGCUGAGGCAGAAGGAUAGCUUGAGCCUAGAGUUCAAGACCAGUCUGGAUGACAUAGCAAGACCCUAUCUCAAAAUAAAAACAGCAAAGAAAUGGAGACUCUUAGGCUCACCCACCCCUGUUGAGUGAGGAUCUGCAUUUCCACAAGCCCCCCAGGAGUGUGACGCACAGUCAGGUCUAAAGCUCUGCCUCACACUCCCAGAGCCAGAGCCUUACAGUCACACACAGGCAACUCAACUUACAUAGCUCUGCAUACAAUGGAAUAAAAUAGAACCUUGUGAAAGACAGUGAUAGUUAACAUCCAGGCCGUGCAGCUCCCUAAGAAGACAGAGUCACCAAAAGGCAAAGGGCAAGUAAGGCUGACAUCUGGAAGCCCAGGCCAGCCAGCAGCCCGCCUGCAUCUUGAAGGGGGAUAAUAAUAGCAUCAACCUCUGAGGGCUACUGUAAGGAUGAGAAAAGAGAAAGCAUGCCACACUGACAGUUUCGGCCUGGCAUAGAGCUAGUUCUUGGUCAUGGUUACCCGUGGAAAACCUUUUCAAGUGGAUGACCUUUGUCCUUCCAUGUUUCUUCCAUCACAAGAAAGAAGUUUCGGGAAAGUUUCAGGCAAGUCCUAGAAAAAUUUAAAAUUCCUUCCAGUUAGUUACUGUCCUCACCCAAUGAAGAAGUGCCACUUAGGGCAUGGUGUCUUAUGCCUGUAAUCCCAGCACUUUGAGAGGCUGAGAAGAGAGGACCUCUUGAGGCCAGGAGGUCGGGGCUGCAGAGAGCUGUGAUCACGCCACUGCAAUCCAGGUGUGGACGACAGAACGAGACCUUGUCUCAAAACAAACAAACAAACAAACAAAAAACCCCAACCCCCGCACUCCUCACCCCCCUAAAAAAAAACCCAGCGCCACCACCACUCCAUGAGAGAUGUCAUCCAGGAGCAGACAUUAGGCUUAGUUUAUAAACACUUGGCAAAACUGUGGCGGCCGUAAGGAAGCAUCCCUCUCCUCCAACUGCAGGGAGCGGCAUUGACCCACUACCCCAGCUGCCCUGCCGAAAUCCCUCGCCUGUUCACACCGACGCCAUGCCUCCCAUAGGCUACUUCCGGCCAAUGACAGGGCUCGGCAGGGGUUUGGGAGCGGGCCUAUUGUUGGGGGCGUGGCCCCCUCUGACAGGUGUCUGGCUGGAGAACUCCCUGACAGCCGCGCCAACCCUGCCCUAGGCUGCGGGGCCUGCCUUUCCUCCCUCUGUCCUUCACUGGGCAUCAGAUCUGGCCUGGAGCCACGCUCUCUCAGCGUGUCUUCUGGCUCCCUCCCAGGCUUCUCUCACAGAUGUUUCUCCUAAUUUCUUGCCUAUUUCGUCUUGUCUUGCAUCUGCUUCUGGGAAGACCCGGCCAACUCUGCCCUUUCAAUGGGCUCAUUUUUCAUAGCUUGUCAUUUAGAUAGCAAAUAUUAGUUCAACUCACUUCCUGUAUUUAAGCUGUGAAAUGCAACAUAUAAGGAUAAAUGUUUUAAGUAUAACUGUUAAGACUUCUCCCUAACGGAAAGCGUUAACUCUUGUUUUAACUGCAGUGUAACUUUUUUUUCCCCUGAAUCUGGCACCUGCUACCAUUCAGGCUGAGCUUUUAAACUCUCAAGUGGCUGUUGAGUUCCGUUAUGGCUCUUAAUUCUCCCUAGAAACUCUGAACUACUUAGGAACAAAACAGCAGUGGCAUUAAAAAAAAUACAUCAGCAAUGUAAUGACAUUAAAAGGAAUCUGGAAGAUACAGGAAGAUAAUUCCCAUAAUACCAUUGUUCUAACACAACAGCUGCCAUUUCGGGGGCGCAUUCAUGUCCAUCCCCUCUCACUUCCUGCUCUUUCCAGAACCCCUUUUUUUCUAGAGGGUUAUUUGCAGACCUGCCUGUGUUAGGCAUGGGCCACCAGCUCUCAGCCCUAGACGCACAUCAGAAUCACUUAAAAAUCACUGAGGGCUGGCCCUGAGCUGGAUCUUCUCUAAACUGCAUCUUUUCUUCCUUUUUAGAGUCCAGAUGCAGAAUUGACUUGAUCAGACCUGUCAGUACAUAGCACCUUACCAUCACCAGUGCAUUCCUAGUGCCCAUCUUUUUAUUUUAUGUAUUAUUUUUGACCUCUUCAUCCUUCCACUCCCAGCCCCCAGCUAUGGGUACCCCACGGGUUUGCGAUAUGUUCGUUUUUUUUUGAAAUGGAGUCUCGUUCUGUCACCCAGGCUGGAGUGCAGUGGCGCAAUCUCGGCUCACUGCAACCUCCGCCUCCUGGCUUCAAGGAUUCUCCUGCACCAGCCUCCUGAGUAGCUGGGAUUAUAGGCGCCACCAAGCCCAGCUAAUUUUUGUAUUUUUAGUAGAGACGGGGUUUCGCCAUGUUGGCCAGGCUGGUCUCAAACUCC
rnacentral:lncRNA from 1 species